rnacentral:tRNA from 1 species
GGAACAGUGGCGGAAAUGCGUGGUCGGUUAGCCCUCCGAAGGCAAAGGCCAGAGGUUCGAAUCCUCUUGGGUGCGCCA